UACGUAGGGUGCGAGCGUUGUCCGGAAUUAUUGGGCGUAAAGGGCUCGUAGGCGGUUUGUCGCGUCGGGAGUGAAAACCUCGGGCUUAACUCGGGGCUUGCUUUCGAUACGGGCAGACUAGAGUGCGGUAGGGGAGAUUGGAAUUCCUGGUGUAGCGGUGGAAUGCGCAGAUAUCAGGAGGAACACCAAUGGCGAAGGCAGGAUCUCUGGGCCGUAACUGACGCUGAGGAGCGAAAGCAUGGGGAGCGAACAGG
rnacentral:rRNA from 1 species